AGCCCUGUAGAUCUGGGCUUUUGUAGAUUAAACAUAUCAGAAGCUCGUUUCUACGGGUGCCU
rnacentral:pre_miRNA from 1 species